rnacentral:misc_RNA from 1 species
AGCAUCCAACCCUCAUCUUCAUCUAGUACAAAAUCUUUGUGGUAAUAGGACGUUAGUUUGCUCCUAAACUUGUUCAUGAUCUCUUUGUCUAAAGGAAGUUGCUUGAAACCUGCCCUCAUACAUCUAACCUGCCAUUGCUUAUAGGUUUCAGGCCUCUCAACCCUUUGGACACCCUCACAUGCUACGACGUUCAUAAUUUGGCGACCGAGAAACUCUCUCUCUAGCAUCAUCCUCUCAUCGCUGUCACGAGG